rnacentral:sRNA from 1 species
GCUGGGUGUGGUGGUACGCGCCUGUAAUCCCAGCAAUGUGGGAGGCUGAGUCAGGAGGCCUGCAAGUUUGAGGCCAGCCUGAGAAUUUUAGUGAGACUCUGUCUCAA